AGAAAGUCUCCGCGGUGGUGUGAGGUGUCACGUCGUAGCGUGAGGUUCUUCCGCCACUGGGUGACCGGUGGGCGGAGUCUCGGGAGCAAGAGAAAAAAAAAAAUCCCUAGGACUGGAAAAACCUAGUACAGGUAACUUAAGGCAGGUGGGUUUUUAAAGGUGCUGCUCUCCAUCUUAACUGCUUUAAAAUAUUAAUGAGCGUCAGAAUGACUAUUCUGAGCAUAUGUGCAUCCCAACAAAUGUGCCCAAUUCUAAAUUGAAAUUCAGUGAUUCUUUCAGGGAGAGCGACCCCCUGAACAGUAGCAAUACAAGCCGUCUGAAAGCCAGACUGACUAAGAGUAUAUUACAGAAUCCAGCUGCAUAGCAAGACACGGUUAGAAAACCGUGGUAUAGUGCUUGCCUAUUAAGGCAGCCCUCAUUCAAAAUUAGGGCAGCUAUGGUGCUUCAGAACUUUAAUUCCAGUACUAGGAAGGGAAGGUAGGAGGAUCAAAAGUUUGAGGCUAUCCUGCAUUGUAUAAUAAAUAUCAGGUCAGCUGGGCAGACCCUGUUUCAAAAGGAAAAGUUGAUGGAAAAGUCCAUGCUUUGGGUAACUAAGCCACUCAAAGCUCAAGCUAGUGGAAGAUUUAUAUAAUUUGAGCAAAGGUACUUGGUAAAACACAGAGGGCAGGAAAAUGGAUUUCUAUACAGACGAAAUGGAUCUGACAGGACAUACGAAAAAAUGGAGCUUGAUUGGAGCCUGAAAUCCUCACUCUAUAGCUGUAGCUGGCUUUUAACUCCUUGUGUAUACCAUGGUGGUCUUAAAACUCACAGAGAUCUGUCUGCCUUCUGAGUGCUAUGAUUCAGACAUAAAUCAGCACAGCCAGACUUUGUCAUGGAAUGUUAACCUAAAAUCCCUUUAUUGAUAACAUAAUCCAAAAAUUAAAUCUAGGAUUGGGUAGACACUAAGAAAUUGAAUAUAGCAGUACAGAUGAGUCCAAAUCUACACUUCAGAUUAAUAACCCAUCAUAAGCGGAAAAAUGGAAUUAAUUUAAAGUCAUCCUCAAAUAUUUAGUCUGAGGCCAGUGGGUCAGGUGAGAGUCGGCAUACACUUCCUAAAAAGUAUAGGAGCAGGGGAAAGAUAAAUAGGUCAUUUGGUAGCAGUGUACAAAAUAAAAAUGUAUGUGUGGGUGGUUUGCCUUGCAGGUAUGUUGGUGUAGAGUGUGUGUGUGUGUGUAUGUGUGUUGGUCUUGAAGGCCAGAAGCAGGUAUCCGGUCCCAGGGACUGGAGUUAACAGUGAUAAGAAGCCAUGCAAUUGUGUUGCUGAGAAUCAAAGCCAAGUCCUCUGGAACUGAGCCAUCUCUCCAGCUCCCAGAUUUUUAAAUUUUAUCGUAGGCAUGUGUGUGCUUGAGUGCAUUAUGCAUACCAUGUAGGUUGCUAGUGGAAAACUGACUUCCAGGCAGCUAGGGUGAGGGUCUUAAAGCCCACACCCACAGUGACUAUUCCACCUAUUCCAACAAGGCCACACCUCCAAAUAGUGCCACUCCCUGGGCCAAGCAUAUUCAAACCAUGACAAAUGUGUAUUGUUUUCCAGAGAACCUGGGUUCAAUUCCCAGAACCCAUGUCAGACAGCUCAUAAUUGCCUGCAACUCAAGCGCCAGAGGGUUUACUGCCUCUGUUUUUUAUAGGUACCUACAAACUUGGCAUCAACUCACACAGACAGACACAUGGAUGAUUGAAAAUAAAAUCUU
rnacentral:lncRNA from 1 species